UUUGAGUGUUAGAGGUCAGCCUGGGCUACGUAGUGAGUUCAAGGCCACCUGGGUUACAUGGCAAGACCCUGACUCAAAAAAAAACCAAACAAACCAGGUCUUCGUGGCUCCCCGCUCCUUUCCCUGGCCGCCUGCCCGCCGCAGGCUGCCCAAGAGAGCUGCUGGGAGCUCCCGGGAGCCUCAGGUGGUGAAUGCUUUAGUGGGAACUAGAGAAGUACUACAGGAGUAAAAAGUAUGCCUCCCAAGUUCAAGCGCCACCUAAAUGAUGAUGACGUCAUUGGUUCUGUGAGAAGUGAAAGGAGAAAUCUUUUGGAAGAUGAUUCAGAUGAAGAAGAGGACUUUUUUCUAAGGGGACCAUCUGGACCAAGAUUUGGACCUAGAAAUGAUAAAAUCAAGCAUGUUCAGAAUCAGGUGGAUGAAGUUAUUGAUGUCAUGCAAGAAAAUAUUACAAAGAAAGCUUACCAGAUAAUGCAACUGCUUUUAGCAACAGAUCCAAACAGCUCCGAAGGCAAAUGUGUUAGCGCGUAUGCAAAAUAAAAGCCAUCAUGGCUUUGGUUGCUGUUUUCCUUUUGCUAGUGAUCAUAAUUCUUAUUGUUGUGAAAUAUCAUACUUGAUCUGAUGACAGAGCUCCUCAUUAAACAAGAUCUGGAAAAAUAAUAAUAAAAGAUUGCUGUGUAAUCUAAAUGAAACCCAUGUAUAUAACUUUCAAAACUUCUUUCUCAAGAAACUAAGAAGCAAGUAUCACUUCAAAUUGGAGCAAUGAGAAUGUCCAAUUAUCUUCUUCCCUUCCAACAAAAUGUACUAAUUGUAUAAAGCAAAGAUAACUAUUUUGCUGUAUUCCAAGGAUCUAAUUUGAAACUAGAUACUUGCCAGUUCAUUAUUUGUGUAUAUAGUCAAAACACUGAAUGACAAUAUUUCAUACUAAUAUUUUAGUGCCAUAAGGUCUGGCAUCAUUGCAUCAAGAUGGGGGUCAGCCUCAGGGUCCGGGUCCAAAAGCCUAUGUGGAGAACCAAAUCAUUCAUUAUGUUAAAGGAGUUCCAUAACCCUUUCACCAGUGUUUGCAAGGAUGUCAUUCUUUUUAUAAUACUUUGCUCCAUAAGCAGUUUCACAUGUUUAUGGGUGUAACAAAAACUAAAUGUUUCUGCCUUUGAUUAUACCUAAAAACAUUCCAAUAAACCUAUUUUUGACUGUAAAAAAAAAAAACCCAAAAUAUAUAAUGACAUAAAAUAGGGGACAACCUGGUGGUCGGUAAUGGGGAUUGAAUUAAAUAAAUUAUUUUCCAUAUGAAAAAUUCUCCAUAUGAAAAAUCAUUA
rnacentral:lncRNA from 1 species